CAUUGAUGCACAAGAUCAAGAGCUACUCGUUCAGGUUCUUUAGGGAGCAUCAAUGAUGCCUAGGCCUCGACGGAUUGGGGAUCGGGACUCUUGGAGAGAAGAAGAGCCUAGGCUGUUCACGAACCCACUUUACUUAUUCUUAAUUUUGGUUUAGCCUGAAUGCCUAAUUGCCUAAGCUUAAAUGAUUUUAGUUGGAUUC
rnacentral:lncRNA from 1 species